rnacentral:rRNA from 1 species
AAACUUUCAACAACGGAUCUCUUGGCUCUGGCAUCGAUGAAAAACGCAUCGAAAUGCGAUUAGUAAUGUGAAUUGCACAAUUUAUUGAAUCAUCAAAUCUUUGAACGCACAUUGCGCCCCCCGGUAUUCCGAGGGGCUUGCCUGUUCCAGUGUC